rnacentral:rRNA from 1 species
AAGACCUUGCGCUUUUGGAGCGGCCGAUGCCUGAUUAGCUUGUUGGUAAGGUAAAAGCUUACCAAGGCUUCGAUCAGUAGCUGGUCUGAGAGGACGGCCAGCCACACUGGGACUGAGACACGGCCCAGACUCCUACGGGAGGCAGCAGCGGGGAAUUUUGGACAAUGGGCGCAAGCCUGAUCCAGCCAUGCCGCGUGAGUGAAGAAGGCCUUCGGGUUGUAAAGCUCUUUCAGCCGGGAAGAAAAGGUUGCGACUAAUAAUCGCAAUCCAUGACGGUACCGAAAGAAGAAGUACCGGCUAACUACGUGCCAGCAGCCGCGGUAAUACGUAGGGUGCGAGCGUUAAUCGGAAUUACUGGGCGUAAAGCGUGCGCAGGUGGUUUUGUAAGUCAGAUGUGAAAUCCCCGGGCUUAACCUGGGAACU